CAGCACUGGAGAAGGACUGCUUGAGUCUGAGCCAGCUUGAACUGUUAUGGAGCUGCAAGGCAGCCAGGGUAAGACGCAAGAAAACCCUAGGUUACUAUGUUACUAUUCGGUGACUUCCUUCUGCAUGAGCUCACGCUGGCUCUCACAGCCCCAGCUGUGAAGCAAAACCCAACGCUGACAACUCCACUGGGGCCCGUCUGAACUUCAGUGUGGAUCAUAAAUUAUUUAUACUCCGGAUGAUUAGAUCUAACCAUUCCAAAUCAUUAUUGUCUGGUACUACAGACAUAUUUUCACAGAACUAAAAACGUUAUGUGUAUCUGUGAAGAAAUUUGACAGCAAAUUACGUAAGAGAGCACUGACAACCUGCACAGCCACUCAGAGCGAAAACACACUGCUGCUCCUCUCUGUGCAGCCUGCUUUUCACUCUCCUGCCUGCCGAGGAUAGCCACAGUGAUUUCCUUCCCAUUAUAUAAUUCUUCAAAUUGUGUAAUUUAAAUACACAAAUAUAAAAACAGAGAUAUCAGUGUCUACAUUGUAUCUAUAGAACUGUAAAACUUCAACUCAAAUCAGCUAACAGAGGACAAACUGGUACCUCAUGGUGUCUAUGGAAUCAGGACAGGCCUCAGCUUACAUCUUCCCAGAAGCUAAGCAACAUUUUGAACCAUCUGGCUGUGAGGUCACAAUGGUGACCUCACAAGUGUAAAUUCUGAUGUUGGUCUGCCUCUCCACCCUCACCACUUUAAAGAAGAAAAAAAGAGAAGGUUCCAUCCUCCUGAAUGAGGCUAGGAUAUGGUCUUUAUACAAGAAAUCCCCUUCCCAUCAGACAGCAGUGUCUUCCACUGCUGAGGGGCAAAAGCAACACAGCUUCGGCUACGGUGAAGAAUUCUGAAAAUUGAGUAGGAAGUGAAUCUCAAGCUUAGAGUAACUGCUGCCCUUUCUCUGCCACUCUGGCACACUGAAGAGCCACCAGCCCUAAUAUUCCCUGUUUACCAAUUCUGGAAUAUCAGAUCUCACUGAAGAAGGCAAAACAGCCAAUGCUUGCUGUGUUCCUGUCUCCUCGCCUUUAGAGCUUACAACCCCGUAUAAAGGUAAAGGCUGGCUUCAAACUUCCCAUGUAACUCAGAAUGAUGGUAAACUUCUGAUUCCUUCACCUCCGUCUCCCAAGUGCUGGAACUGUAGAUGUGCCCCACUGUGCUACUUUCAAUAAAGCAAAAAAGGCAUUUUACUGGCAAGAGCAAAAUGUAUGUCAAAGGAGCCGCACAACCUUGAAUGUCAGCAUGGAUAAUGGGCUGCUCUCUGCCAAGCUGGGAUGGUACGGUUCCCUCUGCUUUCCUGUGUCCAAAAUGCAUCCUGAUUAAAAGGUUUUAUUAUAUAAGAUA